AACCAAAUACAAAAAUGAGAGACAAAGGAGGAGAGGAAAAGAAAGCAACGAACCAAAAAAAGCAGCCCUCUUAUUCAAAAAUGGGGUCCAUUCAAAUAUUGUCUGAUCCUCCCUCUCUCAAAUCUUAAGAUGUGACCUCCAUCAUCUUCUUCCCCCACUUCAUUACCCUCAUUCACCAAAUUUUGUCUCCUCACUUCUUUCCUUUUUUUUUCAAUUAAAAUAGUACUAAAAAUAAAAUAAAAUUUAAAGAAUCCCUAUAUUUUUUUCUUUAAAAGGUUCAUAAUAUAUGUUCAUGGACUCCAUGGAGACCAUCACAAAAUUCACAUCCGAACCCUCGCCAAUAGUGUCAAUGAUGUGUUCCGAAAACCAAUCCAGGGUGGCUGGUGCUCCACCAGCCGCCCCAGUGCUCAGUCGAUACGAGUCCCAGAAACGCAGGGACUGGAACACUUUUGGGCAGUACCUUAAUAACAUGAGACCACCCGUGGCGGUAACUCAGUGCACGUGCCAUCACGUGCUUGAGUUUCUUAGGUACCUUGAUCAGUUUGGAAAAACUAAGGUUCACUUACAUGGGUGUACUUUUUAUGGGCAGCCUGACCCUCCUGCUCCUUGUAGCUGCCCGCUCCGGCAGGCUUGGGGUAGCCUUGAUGCCUUGAUCGGACGGCUACGAGCUGCUUACGAGGAGCACGGUGGGUCACCCGAGUCAAAUCCGUUUGGAAACGGGACUAUUCGGGUUUACCUAAGGGAGGUUAAGGAUUGUCAAGCUAAAGCUAGGGGAAUUCCUUACAAGAAGAAAAAGAAGAAGAGGAAGGUUUUAAAGACAAGUGAUGGAUCUUCUUCAAAUCGUCGGUUUUAAGAUACUUACCUAGCCUGCUGCAUUAUCUCUCUAGAGAAUGGAAACAUAUGAUCAAAAAGCACAUCAAGUUGGACAAAUGAAAUCUUGUUCUAGAAUAUGUGGUAAGCUAAAAUAAUAGAAGAUCGAGCGAAUGAUAAAUGGUUUGGAUAUAUGAACAACCCCUAAUCUCCUCGACAGUACAAUGUAUAACACAAGUAUAUUGUAAUACUAGUAAUAGUCUACUUUGCAAGCUUUUUGAGGGUACAAAACUUGAGUUGGUGCCUGAAUAUAUUACAAUAUAUUACUUGUAUGUAAAGUCAUUCCAUUGUGAGAAUGACAAUGUUACUUGAUAUAUGAGACCUUCUUUUCCAUUCUCUCUCU